UUAAGUUAGGGAAUGGAUGUUUUAGAUGUUUAUUCAAAUGUUGAUGCAUUUUAAAAUCAAUUACUAAUUAAUUACUAUUAACCUGUCCGGUGUGAUUAGCACGGAUUUUGUCUUCACUGGUAGCCUGGUAACAUAUUAUACUCCCAGGUCUUUCUCUGCCUCUGUGGUGGAUAGUGAAGUGUUUCCCAUGUGGUAUUGGUAUGCUGGAUUUCCUCUCCCAAGGUGCAAGACUUUACAUUUUUCUUCAUUGAAUUGUAGCAGCCACUUUUUGUUCCAUUCCUGUAGUUUGGUGAUGGUUUCUUGUAAGAAGUCUGCAGUCAAAGGGUUAAGAUAUUCCUAAUCAACCGUUUACUUGGGUAUUAUCAACUAAAUAUUCACUAUAUUAAGGAAAUCACUAAUCAGUCAAAGUUGGCUGCUACUAGGGAGAGUAUGCAUAUAAAAAAGGAAGGAAUGGCAAACAGUUCAGGUAUAGAUGGUAUAUUUAUUUUCAUAACACGUUGCUAUAUAAAUGACUUCAAAUAAUAAAAAGUACAGUAAUAAAUUUCUCCUCCGAUAAAAACAAUUUUCUUUUCAACCAAAUAACAUUUCUUUAGACUUAAAAGUAUAAAAAGGGGCAAAAAUUCUUAUAAAAAUUUUUCCAAAGAACCUCCGCAGUGGGCAAACAAAUGAAGUCAAAAAAUUUUCGCAUGUAAACAUUUGGCCUCACUGGCUCCUCCGUUGAACUUCCUCCUUUGUUAUAAGAAUUCCGAGCUUUGAACAAAAAUAAUAAAAAGAAACCUAGAUCAGUGCAGAUUCUGUACAUCUCUUAACUGACCAUACAGGCAGAAAAUACAAUGGCAAUAAUGAUAAAAAUGAAUAAUGAAAGUAUGUGAUAAUAAUAAUAAUAAUUUUGAACUUAUCCUUAUAAAAACAGGCCCAAAAUAUUUGUACAUUCAUUAUAAACAGCAGUGGGAGGGUGUGUCUCGCCGCCGUGCAGGGAGACGUGUGAACAACUAACGCUAGCUCUGAAAAAUGUGAAAAAAUAGAUCUAUGUAUAUAAUUUUUUUCUUUUUUUUUUUAUCUCCGCUUCCGGAAUAGUAGUAUCAAAGUUCCGAUUGCACGGCGCUGCUCGCUGAGACACACCGCCAGCAUCGUCACCUCACCUCACACGCACACGGUGGAGAUGACAAUAAUAAUAAUAAUAAUAAUAAUAAUAAUAAUAAUAAUAAUGAUGAUAAUAUAUAGAGCAUGACAAAAAAAGCUUAGGUGAAAAAAUCUGUAAAAAUUACGUACAAAUAGCUAUCUAUAUACAACACUACGGUCCAUCCUUAAUGUGUAUGUAAUGCCUCUCGAUCCCUUUCCUUUCGGGCCUACCAGGUGUAUGGGUUUCAAGUGCAUCCCCCUGCCCCCCUCAUACCCCCCACGUUAUUAAAAUUAUUACUAUUACGUAUUAUUUUCCCGCGCGGCCAAAUUGCAACAGACGAAACUCCGGAGAAAAAACGAGGAAGAGAGUAACAAUAAUAAUCCUUCCAUUGCAUAAAAUUUAACUGUAUAUCCAAAUUGUGUCUAUAAAGUUUGGUUCAAUGUCUGAUUUAUAUUUUUUUCUCUUCGCUUUUCCUUUUGUUUCUGAUACACGAAACUUCAGAAGGAAAAAACGAUGAAAAGAAAAAUAUAAGACCUUCCAGUAUAUGAAAUUUAACUACUAUAUGCAAAUUUUGUCAUAAUAUAGUCAAGUUGAAUAGAACUGAUUAACCUCCUUCCUUUGUGGCCCUUGGAAAUAAGUGUUUUGAGAGCCGCAAGCAUUUAGAAGUAUGGGUCCUGAUCUCACCCGUUUUUUUUCAGUAGACCAAAUUUAAAUAUAUUCAAACUGCAUUGAAAUAUUGUUAAGUUGAACAGCGGAAGUAUAGUAUCUUCACUCCUAUCUCUUUCAUCUGUUACUUCUAUUUUUUGACGCACGAAACACCAGAAAAAUACAGAAGAAAAGGAAGAAAAAAAUAUAAUACUCCUUCCAGUCCAUUCAACAUAACUAUAUGCAAACUGUGCUACAAAGUUAAGAUCAACGGCGGAGUUUUUUUUUCACACUUGUUUUUUUCUUCCGAGUUGUGCUGUUGCAUAUUUGGCAGGUUGAGGGUGGGUGGGAGGGGGGGAGGCCACUGUUUGGGGAGUAGGGGGGAGGGGGUGUGGGGGGCUGGGGGGUACACUGGCCCUUAUACUUACAACUCUCACAGUAAUUACAAACGAACGUGAACUUAACAUAAGUUUUUCCCUCUUUCCUAUCACACAAAAUCCACUUUCCUUCAUGUAUCACUAAAGCUUUAUAGUAGCCAUGUGUAAGCUUUUAAUAACACACCAGCAAAGUAGUAAAUUUGUAAGCUGUUUCCUUUAGUGUAAUAAUAAUAAUAAUAAUAAAAAAACUAAUUCCCUUUUUCUGUAGUAUACACAUUAAACAUUCCUUGCCGUAACAUUUCCUUAAUACAGACCAAGGCUUACAUACACAUUUCUAACAUUUUGAUUUUGCCUGCACGACUGUCUAAGUGGGGCAAUGUUUGAUACAUUUUUCCUUACAUCAUUUUUUUUCACGCAUAUUAAGUACAAAAGUGAGCAAUGGGCAGGAGGGGGUUGACAAGGCCUCACGACAGCCAGGUUAGGCGUUACAAAAUGGUAGUAUAGCAAAAUCUGUCUUCUCAUCUCUCUAUAUAAUGUAAUAACUAAUUAAAUCCAUCCUUCAACUACCUAAUUACCUUGAGCAUUAUACUGCAUGUGAUGUGCUUAAGGGGAAGUUUAGGCACUGCUGUACACACACUACGAAUACCUUUAAGUACAAAAACACACACACACACACACUUACGUACAUUCGCUCUCUCUUUUGCUUCAUCUCUCUCUCUCUCUCUCUCUCUGUUUCUAUACACUAUAUAUAUGGCAACUAAGCUUCAUUUCAGAAAAAAAACACACUUUUUAAAUGCGGGAGAAUCCAGGGCUUUCUUUGGGGGGUUAGGUGUGUAAGGUUGUUAUCAAAAGCGUUAUCAAAAGGAAGGAGGUCUGCGGCUGGGCCAGGUUAGGUUAGGCCGCGUCACGUUAAGUUAGGCCGGGCCAGGCUAGACCACCAGACGCUUGGCCCAUGAGAACAGCAACGGCCUAUAAGUCUCCGCUAAGCACCGAGAAACAGCACUACACACACACACAAACACACACUUAAGAAUUUGUUUUAAAGUACGCACACAAACACAAAAUUAAAGUACACACACACACACACACGAAAAAAAAAAAAACAAAAAAAAAAAACGCUCACACACACGCACACACAGCCUAAGCCUUCAUCCAGCUCUUAGGAAACAGACAGGCCACACAACCUCUAUGUCUUUUAUGUCUGCCACUAGACAAGGUGAGAAUCAGUACGUAUUAUGUAUGUAGUAAAGGAUGCCGCUGCCAGCCACACACACACACACACACACACACACACACAAAAAAAAUACUACACACACACAUGCAUGGUGGGAUUAUACUACUAUUAUUAGGGUAGAAACAUACACAUACGCGAGGGUUGACAUGCUUUGAAUACUGGGUUUGGUUAUGUCUUGGUUAGUCCAGGUUAUGAAGAGUUGGUUGUGUCAAGGAUCUCUCUCUCUCUCUCUCUGUUUCUCUUUCUGUCUAUUCUAAUAAAAAGGUGUCGGUAACAAUUCUUUCGCCUUUUUUUUCUCGUUUACCUCUUUGCACCUGUUCGAGCGUGUUUCUUAGGUUAGUUUUCGUUCUUUCUCUGUUUCUGUCAUAAUAAAAAGGUGUAUCACAAUUCUUUCCUCUCAUUUAACUCCUUGCACCUAUUCGAGCGUGUUUCUUAGGUUAGUUUUCGUUCUUUCUCUGUUUCUGUCAUGAUAAAAUGGUGCAUCAGUAACAAUUCUUUCCCGUCUUCUUUUUCCUCAUUUAACUCUUUGCACCUAUUCGAGCAUAUUCCUUAGGUUAGUUUUCGUUCUUUCUCUCUUUCUAUCAUAACAAAAAGCCAUAUCAGUAACAAUUUUUUCCUCUUGUUUAACUCUUGCACCUAUUUGAGCGUAUUUCUUAGGUUAGUUUUCAUUCUUUCUCUCUUUUUAUCAUA